rnacentral:miRNA from 2 species
ACAGCGCAUGCAAUGUGGACA